rnacentral:tRNA from 1 species
AGCGGGGUAGGGUAGCCAGGACAACCCGCAGGGCCCAUGUCCCUGAGAUCGGAGAUUCGAAUUCUCCCCCCGCUA